rnacentral:rRNA from 1 species
GACGAACGCUGGCGGCGUGCUUAACACAUGCAAGUCGAACGGUGAACCUCUUCGGAGGGGAUCAGUGGCGCACGGGUGAGUAACACGUGGGCAACCUGCCCCCGGCGCUGGGAUAACUCCCAGACAUCGGGGCUAAUACCGGAUGUUCACCGCUUCCCGCAUGGGUGGGGGUGAAAAGGGUUUCCGGUUGGGGAUGGGCCCGCGGCCUUUCAGCUUGUUGGUGGGGUGGUGGCAUGCCAUGGCGACGAUGGGUAGCGGGCCUGGGAGGGGUACCGGCCACGCUGGGACUGAGACGCGACCCAGACUCCUACGCGAGGCAGCGGUGGAGUAUAUUGCGCAAUGGGCGGAGGCCUAACGCAGCGACGCCGCGUGGGGUAUAAGAGCCAUCGGUUUGUAUACCUCUUUCAGCAGGGACGAAGCGCAAGUGACGGUACCUGAAGAAGAAGCACCGGCCAACUACGUG